rnacentral:sRNA from 1 species
GUCUAGGCUUGCGUUAGGGAUAGCAGCGGCAUCCUUUUUGUUUUUCGAGAAAAAAACAAAAAGAUAUAGCGAAUAGCCCGACCUUGU